AUUGAACGCUGGCGGCAGGCCUAACACAUGCAAGUCGAACGAGUGGCGCACGUGUGAGUAAUGUCUGGGACACUGCCUGAUGGAGGGGGAUAACUACUGGAAACGGUAGCUAAUACCGCAUACCAUCGGAUGUGCCCAGAUGGGAUUAGCUUGUUGGGGGGGUAACGGCUCACCAGGGCGACGAUCCCUAGCUGGUCUGAGAGGAUGACCAGCCAAACGGGAACUGAGACACGGUCCAGAGUCCUACGGGAGGAAGCAGUGGGGAAUAUGGGACAAUGGGCGCAAGCCUGAUGCAGCCAUGCCGCGUGUAUGAAGAAGGCCUUCGGGUUGUAAAGUACUUUCAGCGGGGAGGCGUUACCCGCAGAAGAAGCACCGGCUAACUCCGUGCCAGCAGCCGCGGUAAUAC
rnacentral:rRNA from 1 species